UCUUCAGCUGUGACAGGACCAGGGAGCAUGUGAAGAUGGGUGUUGCAGGCAGACUAACACUGAGGAGCAACUAACUAAAGACAGAGAACACAAGUCCCAGCAUCUAUUUCCAGCUUCUUUGUGCCCGCCUGUCUGGCUGUGAGUGUGUGUAGGAGGUUUCUUCAUGAAUGGAUAAGAGGGAGACUUGAAAGAGCUCASUUUAUGGGGGAAACAUCAACCACAGUAAAAAACAAACCAUAUCCUGUGAUUACGAGAACAACCAAUAUGGCCACAGACCUCCACCGCUACUUCCAGGGAUCAUCGGCUGAACCAAGCAACCAAGAGGCUGGUSGAGUUUUGCUGACAACAAGCCAAAUAGAGGGUCCCACCAUGAAAAUCCUUCUAUUGUACAGACUGCACCGCAGAAACUCAACUGGUGGUGAACAGGUGGGCCUCUCUGAAUGGUCCUUUGGAGCCGGCAGUCUGAACCAGUGAGGGACUGAGCUCUUCAGCACCUUCAGAUGACACACCAUCCUGCAUGCUGGCUGGAUUGACUUGUCCA